GGAUGUCCGGAAUUCUUGUGCCAAAAAUCAUGCCACUGCUACUUAGUCACCACUCACCACCGUCCACCAUAGACCUUAUCACUGCAACAUCAGAGCUAAAUAUAUAGUGACUGAUAUUUGUUGGUUACAUCCAUAGACCUUUAACUCAAAGAAAUAAAGGUUUGGUCGUAAAAAGUCUAUGGUUAUACCCACGGAUUAAAAUA